UGAAUUUACAUAAAUGGGCCUAAAAAUGGAAUUAAUCGUCCCCAUUGCAGGUUUAAUGGGCCAAGCGAACCGAGUUUUGAAUUAAAAAAAAAAAAAAAAAAUGGACAGCACGGUGGUGUAACUGGUGUUCGGUCGCCUGAAGCAACACCAUUUCUCCGUUCCUCCAGAGAUCAGUGAGACGGAAGGCCGUGAGAGGUAGAAUUUGAGAGCAAAAGCUGUGGGUUUUACAAGAUUAUAUGUUCAUUACUAAAAUGGGUACGAAAUGGAUACAUGCAAAGCGGUGCCACCUGGAUUGAUAGCCGUAGCAGUAGCUACCAGGAUGCAUGGAAAGCGGUAUUACUGGGAUUGAUAGCGGUAGUAGUAGCUGCCGGGAAAUGUGAAAAUUAUGAUUCUUUUGUUCUAAGAAGCUCAUGAAUGUGUAUUUUCAGCGGCUCCAUCUUUGUCAAAUGUGUAUUUUACUCUUUUCUGAAUUUCACAUUCAUGUAAGAUUUUAUCUCCAUAUAUGGCCUAUAUGCCACGUAAGGAAGCAUUUAUUAAUAAUUUAAUAAAUGAAUAGUA